rnacentral:rRNA from 1 species
GCAUAUAAGUAAGCGGAGGAAAUGGAACUAAAUAGGAUUCCCUCAGUNAUGGCGAAUGAACAGGGAUGAGCUCAGGCUGGAAACCGAUUCAUCUGUGUCGGGCUGUAGCCUGCAGGCAUAGCGCUAUCGGCGGCUCGAGCGCAAGCCUCUUGGAAUAGAGCGUGUGCCCGGGUGAGAAUCCUGCAUUUCGCUCGAUGUCCGCUGUCCACAGUGCUUGUUCUUAGAGUCACGCUCCUCGGAAUUGGAGCGUAAAUCAGGUGGUAAGUUUCAUCCAAAGCUAAAUAGAAGCUCGAGACCAAUAGCAAACAAGUACCAUGAGGGAAAGAUGAAAAGGACUUUGGAAAGAGAGUUAAAAGUGUUUGAAAUUGCUGAGAGCGAAGCGAACGGAGCCACAUGUCGUGCUGAGAUUGCUGUGGGUCUUUGUGAGCCUUGAGCAUGUAAGCGCAAGCUGAGCAUUUGCCUGCAGUGUUUCUCAGCAUGCGAGUCAUUAGCUACAUUUGUUUGAGGAUGGCCUUCAGUUCACAUGGUACACUUGUUAGUGUGCCUCUGUGCGGUGUGGGACUCAGACAGGUGUGGCUUGUUGACCCAGUGGUUUUUUUCGACCCGUCUUGAAACACGGACCAAGGAG